rnacentral:lncRNA from 1 species
GUGCUGCCUCAGCAGAGAUGAAGCUGAUGGACCUGCCCCCAUGUGAUUGGCCGGCCCACACCCACAUCAGCCCUGUCCUGCAGCCUCCCCCAGGUGUUCAGGUGUGGGGUUGCACCUCCACGGCCCGCUGGCCCGCUGGCCCCACGUACCCAGCCUUAGGAUUUGAAUCUUGCUUCCCCAUAAGGAAGUCUGUCUGCCUGGGUGCUAUCCAUCCCCUUCCUUCACUUUGAUGCCAUACCACGUUAGCGAACAAAAGGACCUUGCAAAAUGGCCAGAGGAUUCAUGUUUUCCUGGGCACAUGAAACAGUAGUGCAAGAAGAACCGAUUUGGUUGAUGCGGGCCUUCAAAUCUUUAAUUUUAUUUUAUUAUUUAAUAAUUUUUUUUUGGGGGGGGGGGUGGAGACAGGAUCCUGCAGGAUCUCCAUCUUCCCUUGUCCUCACAUCACCUGGACCGUUGGAGGGCGUGAGUUCAGAGUCAUCCCGGCGCACACAGAGCAGUCGACAGUCGAUUUUCAACAGGAAAAAAAGGGAAUUAUACAGGGUAUACCCAUUGGUUUUGUGAAUUAGGUUUAGGAAUGACACGACGAAAGGUUUUGUGACUAGUUUGCAUCAAGAAGACUAAAACGCGCAAGAUAAUGUCAUAGAAACUUGUCACACUGGUGCACAUUGCUGUCUUUAAAGGGAAGAUCUCGGAGCUUCUCUGCGGCAUGCUAUAUUGUGGUGAAAUGCAGUAUCUAAUUCUGCCUCCAUUGUGUCAUCCUGACACUUAGCUUUCUGUUACCAGUAAAAAUGUGUGAUGUCGCGUAUUAUUAAUAGCAUGAUGUAUAGAGACACCAUGUAGCUCAUAAGCUUCAGUUUGAUAGUACACUGCAACAUUUGUUUCUCGAAGGUUCCUCACAUCUUUUUUUUCACAGAUGUGAUAUGACAAAAGCUGACGAGAAAAAAAAACGAAAAGCCAAGAAGGAAAAAAAUCACUAACGUGUCUGAGUUUCAAAAAUUGUUUAAGACAAGCCUUUGUGUCCCAGCGUGCACCUCUGUCCCUGAGACCCUUAACCUGUGAAGUCAUAACAGGUCACAGGUGAGGUCCUCAGGAACAGGGUUUCAUGCGUUUUCACCCCAGUAGUCCUGUAGAGUUCUGCUGUACAUUCACUUCCCUGAGAUAGAGAGACCCAAAAGGUAAUCUACGGCUUUAAAACCA